AUGUCUCCACACACUCUCUGUCUCUCUCUCUCUCUCUCUCUCUCUCCCUCUCUCUCUCUCUCUCUCUCUCUCUCUCUCUCUCUCUCUCUCUCUCUCUCUCUCUCUCUCUCUCUCUCUCUCUCUCUCUCUCUCUCUCUCUCUCUCUCUCUCUCUCUCUCUCUCUCUCUCUCUCUCUCUCUCUCUCUCUCUCUCUCUCUCUCUCUCUCUCUCUCUCACACACACACUUCUCGGCCAUGCUUCAUCCGUCGCGUCUUGGUCCCAGUGUCACUAGUUACUGAGCUGCCGGUAAAUGGAGGUUUUAAUCAAGAGCCCCUGCCUGAUCCUCAGAGACGUGCUGCGGACGGAGGCGGGCCGGGCCUUCCUGGGAAGGCGGAGGUGCAGCCAGCUCACGGCGAACGGCACGCAGACGUCGCCGAAUACCAACGGCCAGACACCGCCCUCCUCGGGUCGCAGGGGGUCGAGGUCGGAGGAGGUGGAGAAGGGAAAGAGGAGAGCCCUCGCUCCUCAGUCCCCGGCCUCCAAUUUGAAGACGCGGGUCGGGGCCUCUCCAAGGGUCCCCGACCACCACAUCACCCCCAGGAGGCCACAGGAGAAGGCCAGCCAGAGGAGAGAGGCAACAGGAGUCAGGGAGCCCCCGAUAAGACCAGACGGCAGAUAUCCAGAAGGAAGAGCCCUUAUAACCGCGUGGGCCCCCCACUGCGUCCCCGGCGGGGGGCCGUACGUCAACCCCUGGACCGGCAGUCGGGGAGGCCUUCCUCGAGGCAGAUGGACGAACCCGGAAUCGAACGGGCGACAGAUCCUAGUGGGUGUUAA
rnacentral:lncRNA from 1 species